GACCCCAGGGCCGACAGCCCGGGAGGGACCGGGUUCCAGGACCCCAGCUGCACAAAGCCGGCCCGGGGAGGGGGCGAUAAGGAGAGAGCCUCGGGUCGGCCCGGCACCGCUGCUUCGGCUCAGAGUCCUUGCAAUCGCUUGGCCUACGAACAACCUAAAUGAAAUUUAGGGUUUUAUUGAAAAAGUCCCCUGGGGCCUAAUUUAGCCUCUCGACUCCAGCCUAUAUGCUUACAAGUCCUUAGGGGACUCCGGCUAGGAAGUCAGGCGUGGGGCCCGUGCGUCCCCGGCAGGACCUAGACUGCCUCUCGGCGCAGGCGGCCCUAACAAAGAAGCCCACGAGGCGGUCCCGGGCGCGGGCAGGGGCGGUGCGGCGGCGCUCGGGAGACCCGCGAGGGGCCCUGGAGGUCCUCGGCCCGCGCGCGCCGCUCGGGAGCCCGCGAGGCUGCGGUGUGCUCCAGCGGGCGCAUUUCCCAGGCCCCGCCACAUCGUGUGUGUUAGUGGCUGGGAAGGACACGAGGACAGAGAUGAGGAUUGUUCGUGGCAGGAAAGAGUAAAAAUAAAUCAAUGCAUAAACAAAAAGGAUGCCCCAGAAAACCUGUGCUUUUCAGACACACACACACAUACACACACACUCACUCACUCACUCUGAAUUGGGUCAAGUAAAAAAAAAAUUUUUUUUAAAGAAGGAAUCUUUAGCCCAAGUGGGAUUUCAACUAAAUUGUAUAUAUCAAAAGAUAGCUACAUCCAACCUCUCACCAGAAUCCAGAGGCUUUCUCCUGCAAAGAUACUACUGAAAAGUUUUAUUAGUUAAGUUUGAGAAGGCGAAAGUAUGUAUCAGAGGUGAAAGCUAACAUGACAAUUGCUUGGCCAAAGAGCGCAGCAGUUUUAUGUGAUUGAGCAGCACAGGAUGAAUCGAACACCCAUGAUGGCUAGACAGAGGCGCCUGGCUGUGACUCCCAGAGGUUCAGGCAAGCCAUCUGACCUCUCUCAGUCCCCACCCCCUGAAAUGAAAACCAUACUCAUAAGACUCCUUGACAAUGGAAAUUUUGGAGGUGACAUAGUUAAUGAAGUGUCAUAGAAAGGAAAUAGCUAAGAAUACUCUAAAACCUCCCCAUUCCCAGUAUGGGCAAUUUGGGAAAAAUGAGUAACUAAAAAUUAGGGGUUCUCGAAUGUGGUUCCAGGAUCAAAUGCAUUAGUCCCCACCUGGGAGCUUGUUAGAAAUGCAAAUUCCCAGGCUCCCCUCUAGGCCUCCUGAAUUAGAACUUUUGGGGGUGUUUUAACAAGCUCUCCAGGUGGUUACGAUGUCCCAUAGAGAAUCAUUGGGGCAAAUAAUCCUGUGCCCUGAUUAGAUCGCAAAGAUGCACUUUCAAAAGCAAGUCAGGGUGCUGAGUUGCUUAGUUUCUAUUGCAAAAUUUCCUGCUUUGGAACAAAAUUCUCAAAAUUUUCAGAGGGUUGCUCAGGCCAGUGAUGUUUGCAAUGCAAACCCAAGAAUUCUGAAAGGAGCCCAUGGCUGAAAGGAGCCAAUUCUUCCAGGACCGACUACUCCAGUUGCAACUGUGCUGUGGAGGCUGAGGAGCACCCAUGACUGAGGAAGGGCUUGAAGCCACAGUGCAUGGCCAGAACCAGCCAGACCUUUGGAGUUCAAGAACUCGAGAGGUGGGUGAAAACUGCCAUUGCCUCCACAGACUGUCUUCUCUGUGGAAAGAAGACCUGAGUCACCAGGGCUGGGAAACCUGCACCACUGAGACGAGCACAGCCUCUGCCGGCAUGCAAGUGGCCGCUGUCAGGACACACGGACUGAAAGUGGUUUGUCAGCUGCUCCAUUAGGUUUUUUUUUACCCAUAUGUUUGCUACCUUUCUUUCCUUGAUUUAAAAAUAGGGAGGGGGAGCAGUCUCAGCUGUCUUCAGCUGCUAGGGAGAUUUUUUUUCCCCUCCUGAGCUACUGUUUCCCCCAACCCGAGCCUUUCUCUCUUAUUGUACCCACCCUUUCUGAUGAAGUCAUCAAAGCAAAGAUUGCAUAACUGAUGCAUAGGCCUAUCUUGUGUUAUACUGGGAGACAGGCCAAUGUUUCCGUUAAUAGACAAGAGCACCACCACGCUGCCAAAUGGAGCUCUCUGCUGCAACCACUACAAGACAGGAAGAAGGGAAGGGAAGCUGAGUGCUCAGGGCAUGCUGUGGAGGGAAGGCGAGGGCACUUCCCGCCGUCAUCUCCAGAACCGCCACAGCCUUGGGAGGGGGGCUGAGAGAGAUCAGUGCUGACUGCCUGAGAAGAGGCCUUCCACAGGCUGCCUUUCUGGUGUCCCCAUGUUCUUCCUUCCUUCCUUCCAGAGGCCGUGAGAGGGAGGGCCCAUGUCAGCCUGCUCUGCCGGUUUCCCGACUGCUGAACCUGUCUGUGGGAAGCUGGGUUUGACCAUGUGAUGCUGAGGCUCUGAGAGGAGGGCUACCAUUUUCCCCACCCUCGGCCCCCAUUCCUAUGAGUAGAAGCCUGCCCAGCUGCGGUGGUGGGGUUUGAGGAGGCUAGGACUUAGAGCAGGGAAAAACACAAGGAAGCAGAAAGAAAAACAGAAACACUUAGAAAUCUGGGAUUGGUACUUCUCCUUAUGUAAAGAUUGUGGCUGACGACCAGCUUCUUAGAGGAAGCAAGUCUAGGAGAAGGGCUCAUACCUGGUCCGUGAGGGCCUAUGGGGUAUCAGGGCAUAAGACCACCUGACCCUGGGCCUUGCAUCCACAAGAACCUUGAGUUUAGAUUUUUAGACAUAUUCUUUGAACAAGGUUUUACAUAUACAGUCACUGAGAAAUCCUGAGAGGAUUGAAAAAUAGCAUCUAUUUUACAGCUUUAAAUUGUGCCCUGAGCUCAGCGUGGUGGCUCAUGCCUGUAAUCCCAGCACUUUGGGAGGCUGAGGUGGGAGGAUUGCUUGAGUUCAGUUCAGGACCAGCCUGGGCAACAGCAAGACCUCAUCUCUACUAAAAAUAAAAAAAUCAGCUGGGCAUGGUGGUGUGCACCUGUAGUCCCAAUUACUCAGGAGGCUGAGGUGGGAGGAUCGCUUGAGCCUGGGAGGUUGAGGCUGCAGUGAGCUGUGAUUGUGCCACUGCACUCCAGCUUGGGUGACAGAGUGAGACCCUGUCUCAAAAAAAAUUCUGCUCUGUUAUUAGAUCGGGCUGCUCUAAGUCCAUUAUCAAUUAACAUUCUUUAUAUGUCCUGUGUUUAUCUUGUGCAUGGUAUAAUUGCCCUAUGCUGUAUUUUUUAAAAUAAAAACAUUGCAUUUAAAAAAAGCCCUAUUGUCAUUUCUUCAUUUUGUAAAUAUACCUGAGCACUCCAAAAAAUAGAAAUGGCUCAGGUAUUUUCUUAACCUUGAAAGACUUGGAGACACACAGGCAUAAAAAUAAGUUUUAGAAAGAAUAUAGCACUCAAAGAGGUCUAACACAGCCCUUGACUCCACGCCAUACAUACACAUGGUAACCUGGAUAAAGGAAUCUGGAAACAAUGAGAAAUCAUCCUCUCUACAGAUCUUAAACUUUUCUUUCUUUCUUUUUUUUUUUUUUGAGAGAGAGUCUCGCUCUGUCAGCCAGGCUGAAGUGCAGUGGCACAAUCUCGGCUCACUGCAACCUCCGCCUCCCGGGCUCAAGCAAUUCUUCUGCCUCAGCCUCCCUAGUAGCUGGGAUUACAGGCGUGUGCCACCACGCCCGGCUAAUUUUUGUAUUUUUAAUAGAGGCAGGGUUUCACCGUGUUGGCCAGGCUGGUCUCGAACUCCUGACCUCAGGUAAUCUGCCCGCCUUGGCCUCCCAAAGUGCUGGGACUACAGGCGAGAGCCGCCGCGCCUGGCCGUCUUAAACUUUUCACUCUUUAAUCAGAACUCUUCUUGGGAAGCAUGAUUCAGCAGUGCUUGUCUUAUAGUAGGCGCUCAUAAAGGUUUGCUCUCAGUAUCGUCCCUAUUAAUAAUGAGGAAAUUAGAAACUUUAGGUGGGGCCUAUAUUUUCAGCUCAGAUUUUGUUGGGUCUUAACGGUCACAUCAGUUCCUCAGCUGUGUGAAGGAAAACAUCCCUGUUUACAAAUGACCACUUUUGCUUAGGAUAAAAGUUAAGUUGGUAGCUAAAUAUGAAAUGAGACCCUAGAAUAAACAUUCUUUAUACGUCCUGUGUUUAUCCUGUGCACAGUAUAAUUGCCCUUGGGAAGUUGAUGGGAAACUUUUAGUGAGGAAUAAAUCCACCUUUUUGACUAUAACAAUAGAGGCCUUCUAAGAUGGGGGUUAUGCACCAAGUAUUUUUUGCCACCUAUCCCUUCUAAAAGCAUAAAUAUUUUUGCUUAAACAUCUGGGAUGUAGCACCAGUUUCCUAAUCUCUUUCCACCAGAAACUAAAGCCAAGUCUGACCUCCUUACCAAGAUAUCCCCUCAAAUGCCCACUACCACCCCCUCAUUUUUCCCCAAAAGCUUUCUGGGGUAAUUUCUCCUCUAGCUAGUUGACUUCAUACCCACCCCUUCACUCUGCUUCCCAGAUCCAGGCGGGCUGCUUUACAGCAUAACCAUGAUUCACAUAUACACAUCUCCACCUAAAGUUACACGCCUCCUUUAAGAGCUGCUGCAACCAUUACCGCUUCUCUCCAAGGUGACUACUUGUGGGAGGAUAACAGCAGAACAGGAGGGGCAAGGUGAUUAAUGCUAGAGUAGGACAGGGAGAUCUAACCUGCUGUUCAGGAGACUUCUCUACCUGAGAAAGCUUCCCGGACACUAGGGAUCCUGUUUCUGGUCUUCCUUCCCUUUGGACCAUUUCUCUGAUAGACACAGUUUGUUGUACUUUGGCCCAAAUAAUUACUUUCCCCUUUGUGUUUCUGUUUCCCUUUAUCCUCUCCCCCAUUUUAAGAAUACACAGUUUCUCGAUCAGCAAUUAUUAAACCUUUCUCAAGUCAACCAAACCUUUUCUGGAAGCUGACACUAAAUAUACAUGGCUGUAACCAUGCUGAGGAGUGGAGGAGGGGUGAGUGGGGAUGACAAACCUGGAAACUGAACUUGAAAUCUGUCUCAGAUCCCAAAGAUACCACACGGGGAAAAGCCAGCCAGCGUGAGAUUCCUUUCUUUAUUUUCCUUAGGUUCUCAGGGGAUAAUUUGUACUGAAGGUUACUUUCUAUAGAAAGCCUUGAGAACACUACCUCUUAAUCAUAUUUAGAAGCGUAUAAAAAAGAUUGACAAGGCCAAUCUUGAUUCCUUUUUUCUUUGAUGUAGUCACAGAGAAUUUUGAAGGAACGAUGGGGUCUCUGAGUCCCCACUAAGAAAUAAAAGUAAGUCCUCAUGUACAUUCAUGUACAGGGUGCUGAGAGCUCACAUGUGGAGGGGCCAUCCCUAUGGCCAUAGAGUCCUGCCACGGUCAUUGUCACAGUUGUCACUGCUGUAGCAGGGUCCCAGUCACUCUUAGUACCUCUCAGAGGUUUCUUGGGGACACAGCCCAAAUACAUCCUGUAGUCAGAUGCACAAACACCUUGGGUAGGAACCUAGAGAGGUCUGGAAUACUCUGAUUCACCUUCUGCUAAGAGACUUAGAUAAGGAAGGCUGACUAGGUCAGUUAAAUUGAUUGCCAAGGUGGCUGACCUAAUAGAGGUUCAGGGAUCUGGUUUGAGAACAUGGAGCCUCAGACCCUUCCCUUCAAGCUGUGCAACAUUGCAUAUCCUUAGUGUCAUUUUCAGUCUCAGCUUCCAGAUCUUAGAGUUGAUUUUUCUUAAAGAACACUCACAGCUAAAACAAACAAACAAAACAAAUAAGCAAACAACCCACUUGCUUAAUAUGAUAUACCACCCCCCAGGAGCAUGGGUUGUGGUUAUAGCUUUGCUUGGGAUUUUAUGUGGAGUAAGUCACUUCAUGGCUAACAUGCAAAUAUUGCUCAGAAAACAAGUAUACCUCCCCCUGAAGUCUGAGCACUAGAACACAAUGUGUGGCAUGUAUAUUUUGCUAUUAAAGUUUGCUUUCAAUUUGAAUAUGCAUCCCACUUUUUGAAAAACUUUUAUUGCUCAAGGAGUCUGCACAGGCCCAGUACCCCAGCACAAUGGCAGGGGCUAUGGUGGGACUCUCAGACUCUCACUGCAGUGCAGCCACGGCCCCUGUCCUGGAGGGAGACUGAAAUCCGAGUGCAGAGACAAGGUGCACUUCACGGAAAAGCUCAAAGAUGACACCAGCUGGUCAAGAGGCAAGCUGUGUGGCGUGUGUUCUGUUUCCAUUCGAUUUCCAUAGAGCCAGGCUGACCAGACCCGGGAUGGGCAGAGCGGUGGCGUGGCGUAGAAAGAGGCCCAAAUGUGGAUACAAGGCACAUGAGUUCUAGGCAGUGUUUGACCUGGGGCAAGUCACUGAACAUUUCUAAGCUUCAGUAUUCUCCUUUAUGAAAUGAGGAAGCCAGUCCAGGUAAUCUCCAAGGUUUCUACUUGCUCUAACAUUUCUCUGGUUCCACUUGGAAAGAGCUUCAUGGAUAAGCGGGGACUUGACUGAGAGCCUUGAUGGAAGUGUAGAUUUGGAUUUGAGUGAGAAGAGAAGGAAGGAAGGAGAGCGGCCACCUGCAAGGAGGGAGGUGGCCACCCAAAGUUGGGGUGUUUGCUGGGAUGUGUGAGAAGAAAGCUUCACAGGGUGGGACUGGCCAUGGACAGAUCUGCAUGCAGGCAGAUCCAGCCGACUCAACCACUGUCCAUCAGGAGCCACAGCAGGUUCUUAAAGGGAAUAAACGCUAAAUGCAUUACUUUAAGGAGAUUAAGCUAGUGUCAGGUAAAGCAGAGAUUAGAACAGGGCUGGAUCUGGAGAAAAGUGGGCAGGAAGGGUUGGGAGGUAGCCAUGGGGGUAAUCCCAUCAGGAGGUGAGGGGAAGCUGGCUGAGAUUUGGCACUUGACUGUGGGAACUGAAAAAAGCCAAAUGCACCUGCCAGGCAUAUUCCUGCAAGAAUAAGAAUUCUCAUGUGCAAAUAUCUGGGGUCAUUUUCCGGUCUGGGAUCCCACCUCCUCCCACUCAUUUCUCUUCUCUAUUAUUGUGUUCUGCCCAGUCCACAUGGCUACCAGAAACCUGGCAGAGAUAUAGUGAUCCCUGCUUUAAAAUCAGGUAAAAAUAAUGCUAGUUUUUCUGGUCUUCUCUAUUUUUAAAAAACUAAAUUUAUUUAAAUGUGAAUUUAGUAUACAGGAUUUUAAACAUACCACCUGGUUUUUGACAGGGAGUAGAACAGUAGGUAUAUACUGUGAAUAUUUUCAAAGCCCUAACAAUAUAUCCUGGGGAUGGAGGAAAGAUGGCAGGCAGUAACAGGAAAUGUGACCGCAACAACUUGGAGAAGAAGAAACCUUUUAGUUUUUGUGCUUCCUUAACUUGUUUCUCCAACUUUCUCCUGCUACUAAAUGUUUCAUUCACUCAACUUUUUUCAAGAAGUCCUGACAAGUAAUAACAAAAGUUCUAUGGUGGCCCAAUUAAAGACUUUUCAUGACAAGUAGACUUCAUAACAAAUGUGAUAACUAAAUAUUUCCUAAGCAUAAGCUCUCAGUUGGAUUUUUUAUUAAAAAGUCAGAAAAUCACUCUCGGUCUUAUUGCUAAAUCUUGUUUGCAACAGAAAUGGUAUGUUAUAUUUUUAUAAGAUAAUUAACAUGGCAUGUAUUCCACUAACCUUUUAAAUCUGAACUAGAGAUGGUAAUAAGAAUAAUUUCUAACAAAAUAAUUCAUCAGUACACAACCAGCUGGACUGUUGAAAAUGUAUGAUUGAAGUUAAGAAUACCUUGGUGGUUUGAGGUAAAAACAUGUUUUAUGUCAACAAAUUGGAGACUGAGUGUCUUCUCUGAAAAAAAUGAAAAAUCUUCCCUUUAAAAAUUUUCCUACCCCUUAUCAAGACGACAGAGGAGAAGCAGAUACCCUGGUCCACAACACUCUGAAAUUACCACUGGGCUCUGGAAAAUGGAUUGCUUCACCUAUUUGUUCUGUCUUCUAAUCCCAGGGAGGGGCUGCAAAUCUCCCCAUCUGUCUCUCUCGCUCUGCGGGCCCCUCGUUGCCAUGGUCUUUCCCACAGUAUCUAAAGGAACAAGAUUCCGCAGACGUUUGACACUGGACCUCCGCAGGCAGCCAAUUUGUUUUCCUUUCACCUCCCCCCUUCUCCUCCUCUCUCCCUUUCUAAUAUAGCAUAUUCUUUCUGUGCACCCACCAAAAGUAAUGUGUCAAACUAUGAUUAUGUUUUCUUUUAUUAAACAAGUAGAA